rnacentral:lncRNA from 1 species
UUCAUCAGUUGAGACAAGAAUUGAAGAGAUCGUCUCAUCCGGCUACUUUGAUCAGUAUGGCAGCAUGUUCUAUCCGGAUGUGGGAGUUCAGCCUUAGUUCCUCUACCUUUUCAGCCACACCCAGCAAGAGGAUUCGAUGCAUUUGUUUAAGAUCUUGGUCCAAGUGUUCAUGGAGGUGCUUAUCCUUUUUAUCCAAGAUCCACCUUUGGGCCAUUUACAAGAGCUCCAUCCUCAGC